rnacentral:SRP_RNA from 2 species
GCCGGGCGCGGUGGUUCACGCCUGUCAUCCCAGAACUUUGGGAGGCCAAGGCGGGGGGAUCACUGGAGCCCAGGAGGUCCAGGAUGCAGUGAGCUGAGAUCGCGCCGCUGCACUCUAGCUUGGGCAACAGAGCGAGACUCUGUCUUUU